AACGAACGCUGGCGGCAUGCCUAACACAUGCAAGUCGAACGGGAUCCGGGCUUCGGCCUGGUGAGAGUGGCGGACGGGUGAGUAACGCGUGGGAACCUGCCCAAUGGUCUGGGAUAACCGCGGGAAACUGCGGCUAAUACCGGAUAAGCCCGAGAGGGGAAAGAUUUAUCGCCGAUGGAGGGGCCCGCGUCAGAUUAGGUAGUUGGUGGGGUAAUGGCCUACCAAGCCUACGAUCUGUAGCGGUCUGAGAGGAUGACCAGCCACACUGGGACUGAGACACGGCCCAGACUCCUACGGGAGCAGCAGUGGGGAAUUUUGGACAAUGGGCGCAAGCCUGAUCCAGCCAUUCCGCGUGCAGGAUGAAGGCCCUCGGGUUGUAAACUGCUUUUGUACGGAACGAAAGGCCUCUUCUAAUACAGGGGCUCAUGACGUACCGUAAGAAUAAGCACC
rnacentral:rRNA from 1 species